UACGUAGGGUGCAAGCGUUGUCCGGAAUUAUUGGGCGUAAAGAGCUCGUAGGCGGUCUGUCGCGUCUACUGUGAAAACUCGGGGCUUAACCCCGGGCCUGCAGUGGGUACGGGCAGACUAGAGUGCGGUAGGGGAGACUGGAAUUCCUGGUGUAGCGGCGAAAUGCGCAGAUAUCAGGAGGAACACCGGUGGCGAAGGCGGGUCUCUGGGCCGUAACUGACGCUGAGGAGCGAAAGCAUGGGGAGCGAACAGG
rnacentral:rRNA from 1 species